CGGCCUCGACCUAUUCUCGAACUCCGAACGGGCAAGGAGCCGGGGUCGCCCGAUCGGACCCCGGACGUGAAGUCGACGAUGGUCGGUGGGCUGGUUUUGGUAAGCAGAACGGGCGAUUCGGGAUGAACCGGAAGCGGGGAGAAAGGGCCCGAGAUUGCGUCGACGCGGAUCCCGAAAAGGGCGUCGAUCCGUCGCGACAGCGGGACGGUGGUCAUGGAAGUCGAAAUCCGCUAAGAAGCGUGUAAAAACGUACCCGCCCAACGGAUCGGCCCCGAAAAUUGAUGGCGCUCGAACGCAACCCUCGAACCCCGCCGACGGAGGCUAGGGGAGGCCCCGUCGAGUAGGCGGACGCGCGGGUCGCUUCGACGCUCUCGCGCGAGCGGGGGCGGAGCGGCCCGUGGUGCAGAUCUUGGUGGUAGUAGCGAUCACCCAGGCGAGAACCCUGA
rnacentral:rRNA from 1 species